rnacentral:rRNA from 1 species
GAUGAACGCUGGCGGCGUGCCUAAUACAUGCAAGUCGAGCGAACAGACGAGGAGCUUGCUCCUCUGACGUUAGCGGCGGACGGGUGAGUAACACGUGGAUAACCUACCUAUAAGACUGGGAUAACUUCGGGAAACCGGAGCUAAUACCGGAUAAUAUAUUGAACCGCAUGGUUCAAUAGUGAAAGACGGUUUUGCUGUCACUUAUAGAUGGAUCCGCGCCGCAUUAGCUAGUUGGUAAGGUAACGGCUUACCAAGGCAACGGUGCGUAGCCGACCUGGGAGGGUGAUCGGCCGCCGGGGAACGAGGACAGGGUCCCAACUCGGGGGGGAGGCAGGGGUGAGAAUUCUUCCGGAAGGGGCAAAGGCCUAGAGGGGCAACCCGGCGGAAGUCAGAAAGGGCUUCGGCGCGUAAAACUUUUUUGUUAGGGAGAAAUAAAUGUGUAAGAAACUAGGCGCGUUUUACGGGACCCUAAUAAGAAGCCCCGGGCAACUUCGGU